GACGAACGCUGGCGGCGUGCUUAACACAUGCAAGUCGAACGAAGUGGCGAACGGGUGAGUAACGCGUAAGCAACCUGCCCUUCAGAGGGGGACAACAGUUGGAAACGACUGCUAAUACCGCAUACUGAAGGAGGGGAUUGCGUCUGAGUAGCUAGUUGGAGGGGUAACGGCCCACCAAGCCGACGAUCUCUAGCGUGUCUGAGAGGAUGAACGGCCAAAUUGGGACUGAGGCACGGCCCAGACUCCUACGGGAGGCAGCAGUGGGGAAUCUUCCGCAAUGGAGGAAAGUCUGACGGAGCAACGCCGCGUGAGUGAUGACGGCCUUCGGGUUGUAAAGCUCUGUUAAUCGGGACGCGGUACCGGAAUAGAAAGCCACGGCUAACUACGUGCCAGCCGCCGCGGUAAUAC
rnacentral:rRNA from 1 species